rnacentral:rRNA from 1 species
AACGAACGCUGGCGGCAUGCCUAACACAUGCAAGUCGAACGAGACCUUCGGGUCUAGUGGCGCACGGGUGCGUAACGCGUGGGAACCCGCCCUUAGGUUCGGAAUAACUCCCCGAAAGGGGUGCUAAUACCGGAUAAUGUCUUCGGACCAAAGAUUUAUCGCCUUUGGAUGGGCCCGCGUUGGAUUAGCUAGUUGGUAGGGUAAAAGCCUACCAAGGCGACGAUCCAUAGCUGGUCUGAGAGGAUGAUCAGCCACACUGGGACUGAGACACGGCCCAGACUCCUACGGGAGGAAGCAGUGGGGAAUAUUGGACAAUGGGCGAAAGCCUGAUCCAGCAAUGCCGCGUGAGUGAUGAAGGCCUUAGGGUUGUAAAGCUCUUUUACCCGGGAUGAUAAUGACAGUACCGGGAGAAUAAGCUCCGGCUAACUCCGUG